rnacentral:lncRNA from 8 species
AUGCUGGGCCAAUUCUUCCUCUAUAGAAAUCCGACGGUUGUAUUUAGUCAGCCGCUCUCCACGACUCAGACCUCCCAGUUUGACAUACCCAACUCCCAGGCCUACGACCUGAGGGAGAGAGAGAAACGCACAAUGACAAGAGUUUACGGGUGCCGAGUGCCAACGUGCGACGACUGCUCAUCGCCAAGGGACGGAGAAGACGCCGUCACUUGGCUUUGUUUUGGUGUUCAACCACUAGCCUCGUUGUUCCCUGUCAUGGCCGAUUACCAUCAGCAAUCUCACUGUAUCUGCCAAAUGGGUGUGGUAAUAAUCCUCGAGCAUCACUCUACUAAAGGCUGAUAAAGCCAGUGUGCUGUCCCUUAUGCUGACUGUGAGAGAGGGACUGCUGUGUCGGAUCUAAAACUGCUGGCAUCAGCACAGUCUGUUACACAUGCUGAGAUUAUGUAAAUGAAUGCCCGGGUGAUGUAGAGGCGACUGUUUAGUAAAAGCUGUCAUUAAGGCAAAGGGUGGCUACUUUGAAGAAUCUAAAAUAUAUUUUGAUUUGUUUCUUUUUUGGUUACUACAUGAUUCCAUAUGUGUUAUUUCAUAGUUUUGAUGUCUUCACUAUUAUUUUACAAUGUAGAAAAUAGUCAAAAUUAAGAAACACUCUGGAAUGUGAAGGUGGAUCCAAACUUUUGACUGGUACUGUAUGUAUUAUUAGCUUGCUAGCUACAGUAACUCAAAUGAGCUGCUAACGUAAUGUUAGCUAGCUAGCUAACUUUACGUACUGUAUAGUUAGCUAGCUGAGUGAAUUAAAUAUCACCAGCUAGCUGACUUCACUCACAUAACAGAGGACAAAACAGAAAAAAUUUAUCUGCAGAUGAAGAGUCCCAAUGAAUGUCCCAAGAGAAGUGUAAAAAUCACACCAAUGUAUAAAAUAGGGAUAUUAACGGUUAAAUACAUUUGACCGGUCAUGCUUAUCGUUCUAUAGGUUAACUUGCAUAAUUUAUAUAUAUAUAUUAGCAUUAGUCACUGUCUUCAGAAAGCAUUCACACCCCUUUACUUUUUCCACAUUUUGUUGUGUUACAGCCUAUAAAAUGUAGAUUGUUUCACUGAUCUAAACACAAUACUCGAAUUAUGUUUUUAGAAAUGUUUACAAAUGAAUAAAAAAUGAAAAGCUGAAAUGUCUUGAGUCAAUUAGUAUUCAACCCUUUUGUUAUGGCAAGCCUAAAUAAGUUCAGGAGUAAAAAUGUAACUUAGCUUAACAAGUCACAUAAUAGGUUGCAUGGACCCACUUACUCUGUGUAAAAUAAUAGUGUUUAACGUGGUUUUAAAUGACUGCCCCAUCUCUGUACCCCACACAUACAAUUAUCUGUAAGGUCCCCCAGUCGAACAGUGAAUUUCAAACACAGAUUCAACCACAAAGAUCAGGGAGGUUUUCCAAUGCCUCGCAAAGAAGGGCACCUAUUGGUAGAUGGGUAAAAAAAUAAAAAGCAGACACUGAAUAUCCCUUUGAGUAUGGUGCAGUUAUUAAUUACACUUUGGAUGGUGUAUCAAUACACCCAGUCACUACAACGAUACAGGCGCCCUUCCUAACUCAGUUGCCGGAGAGGAAGGAAACCACUCAGGGAUUUCACCACGAGGCCAAUGGCGAUUUUAAAACAGUUACAGAGUUUAAUGGCUGUGAUUGAUUUUAUUAGGAUCUCUUUUAGUCCUCAUUAGGACUAGUCUUCCAAGAGUCCUUUAACAUUAAAAUACAGGAGGAUGGAUCAACAACAUUGUAGUUACUACACAAUACUAACAGGGUGAAAAGACAAAUAUUCCAAAACAUGCAUCCUGUUUGCAAUAAGGUACUAAAGAAAUGCUGCAAAAAAUGUGGUAAAGAAAUUAACUUUUAGUCCUGAAUACAAAGCGUUAUGUUUGGGGCAAAUCCAAUAUCACACAUCACUGAGUACCACUCUUCAUAUUUUCAAGCAUGGUGGGUAUGGGUAUGCCAAGAUAUGGGUAUGCUCGUCAUCGGCAAAGACUAGGACAUUUUUUUUAGGAUAAAAAGAAACGGAAUAGAACUAAGCACAGGCAAAAUCCUAGAGGAAAACCUGGUUCAGUCUGCUUUCCAACAGACACUGGGAGGCAAAUCCACCUUUCAGCAGGACACUAACCUGAAGCACAAGGCCAAAUAUACACUGGAGUUGCUUAUUAAGACGACAUUGAAUAUUCCUGAGUAGCCUAGUUACAGUUUUGACUUAAAUCGGCUUGAAAAUCUAUGGCAAGACUUGAAAAUGGAUGUCUAGCAAUGAUUAACAACCAAAUUUUCAGAGCUUGAAGAAUUAAAAAAAGAAUAAUGGCCAAAUAUUGUAUAAUCCAGGUGUGCAAAGAAAAUAAAGACUCACAGCUGUAAUUGCUGCCAAGGGGGAUUCAAACAGGUAUUGACUCAGGAGGUUGAAUACUUAUCUAAUCAAGAUAUAUUUUUCAUAAAUAAAAAAUAUAAUUUCUUCUACUUUGACAUUACAGAGUAUUUUGUGUGGACCGUUGACAAAAAAAUUACAAUUAAAGCUGCAAUAUUCAACUUUUUGGCCGAUCUGACCAAAUUCACAUAUAAAUGUGUGUUAUAGAUAUGUCAUUCUCAUUAAAAGCAAGUCAAAGAAGCAGUAGAUGUGUUCUAUGUGCGCUAUUUCUAUGCUUCCCAUUGUUAAAUUUCGUUUUUGCGUCUUUUACUUUCGGUUUUGUACACCAGCUUCAAACCGGUGAAAAUACAAUAUUUUUGGUUAUGGAAAAUAUAUUUCACGGCGGUUAAGAUGGUACGAUGAUUCUCUACACUAUACUUGCUUGUUUUGUCACAUAAACUGAAAUUAAACAAACUAUUUGAAUUCCAUUUUAAAGUCAAGGGGCACUGCAUCUUAUUUAUCACAUGGGCACAGCAUACAGAGCCUAACUUGACGAGCAUAAUGACCUAUCACCUGCCAGACAGCUCGAGAGCAGUUCCUCAAAAAGAUGGUACUGAAGUGAAACGUGCCUUUAUAGGGUACCACAGUAUGAGUCAUAAUACCCAUAAAACCUAGCGGUUAAACAGGGAAAUGGUUUCAAUCAUUUUUCCCCCAUUAAUUUUUCCCAUAUGGGAUUUUAGAAAUGCUUAAAAUAAAGGCUGUUUCAUGUAGGCCUACCCUGCCGUGACAUUUUGAUAACCAUGUAGAUCUUGGCAGGACAAGGUGACUUUUAUAAAUAUAUUCGCCUGUAUUUACCCCCUAAAAAUGAAAUGCUAAUUAGCUGCUAAUGUGGCUAUCAUAAAGAACUACAAAUGCCAUGAUGAUCUGGACGAGACUGCUGAAUCAAGACAAAGGUAAGAAUCUCUGGAUUAAGUAUCUAAUGUUAGCUAAAUGUAGAAAUUAAUAAAUUGGCAAAAUUAUAAGGUGUCUUAUAUAGUGGAGAUCCCUACAGUAUUUUCUGUUGGUCACGUCAUUUUACUGUUUAGGAAAAACAUAGCAGUUUGUUGACCGGUUAAUGAGGGACGGUUAGUCAAAAUUUGCAUCCUUAGUGUAAACCUUUUACAACUGGAGCAAGCCAAUCUUCCUGGGUGUGCAGGCUUCUGUUCCAGCCCAGCAUUAACAAACACCUGAUUCAAGUUAUCAUACCUAAUUAGAUGAUAAUCAAGUGUGCUAUUGCUGGGAUGGAAUAGAAGUGAUAAACAAGUAGAUCAGUAGAGCGAGGUUGGUCACCUCUGGUAUAGAAUUUUUUUUUGUUCACCUGAAUUUAUGCGUUUAGUAAUAAUAGCCUACUUGUUACUAAGAUGUCUAACCUUUACAUAUGAGUUGUACACUUGUGCACUUUGAAAUUAUAUGAAAUAAAGUGUUGAUUCUUUGAAGUGAAGUGUUUAAACUUGUUUACAUUUUUGUUACAAAAAAUAUUAUCCAAGACGAUCUAUUGUCAAUGUUGAUUAAUCACAGAUCACAAUCCUGCAAUAAAGAGGGGAAGGGAAUCUGUCUCUAAUUUGUCUGUGUUUCUGUGUUGUAUUCUCAAAUGAAGGUUACCUUAUUGUUCAGUUGUAAACUCUUCAAUUAGUUUUAUUUGAUUGUCACUCUCUCUCAAGAUAUCAGCCAUGUGAACACAUUUUGCAGCUCGUAAUGGCACGCAUCGCCAAUGCAGCCAUAGGUCUACAGUAUGAUGGCUAAUGAGGCUAAUGCCUUAUUGGCAUUUGCAAUGCACCCCUUGACAUUGUGCAUCUGAAGCAGAGAAUAGCUUCACUCACACAUUAUUUGCAUAUUAUUGAGCUACAGUACAA